rnacentral:rRNA from 1 species
GAUGAACGCUGGCGGCGUGCCUAAUACAUGCAAGUCGAGCGAACGGACGAGAAGCUUGCUUCUCUGAUGUUAGCGGCGGACGGGUGAGUAACACGUGGAUAACCUACCUAUAAGGCUGGGAUAACUUCGGGAAACCGGAGCUAAUACCGGAUAAUAUUUUGAACCGCAUGGUUCAAAAGUGAAAGACGGUCUUGCUGUCACUUAUAGAUGGAUCCGCGCUGCAUUAGCUAGUUGGUAAGGUAACGGCUUACCAAGGCAACGAUGCAUAGCCGACCUGAGAGGGUGAUCGGCCACACUGGAACUGAGACACGGUCCAGACUCCUACGGGAGGCAGCAGUAGGGAAUCUUCCGCAAUGGGCGAAAGCCUGACGGAGCAACGCCGCGUGAGUGAUGAAGGUCUUCGGAUCGUAAAACUCUGUUAUUAGGGAAGAACAUAUGUGUAAGUAACUGUGCACAUCUUGACGGUACCUAAUCAGAAAGCCACGGCUAACUACGUGCCAGCAGCCGCGGUAAUACGUAGGUGGCAAGCGUUAUCCGGAAUUAUUGGGCGUAAAGCGCGCGUAGGCGGUUUUUUAAGUCUGAUGUGAAAGCCCACGGCUCAACCGUGGAGGGUCAUUGGAAACUGGAAAACUUGAGUGCAGAAGAGGAAAGUGGAAUUCCAUGUGUAGCGGUGAAAUGCGCAGAGAUAUGGAGGAACACCAGUGGCGAAGGCGACUUUCUGGUCUGUAACUGACGCUGAUGUGCGAAAGCGUGGGGAUCAAACAGGAUUAGAUACCCUGGUAGUCCACGCCGUAAACGAUGAGUGCUAAGUGUUAGGGGGUUUCCGCCCCUUAGUGCUGCAGCUAACGCAUUAAGCACUCCGCCUGGGGAGUACGACCGCAAGGUUGAAACUCAAAGGAAUUGACGGGGACCCGCACAAGCGGUGGAGCAUGUGGUUUAAUUCGAAGCAACGCGAAGAACCUUACCAAAUCUUGACAUCCUUUGACAACUCUAGAGAUAGAGCCUUCCCCUUCGGGGGACAAAGUGACAGGUGGUGCAUGGUUGUCGUCAGCUCGUGUCGUGAGAUGUUGGGUUAAGUCCCGCAACGAGCGCAACCCUUAAGCUUAGUUGCCAUCAUUAAGUUGGGCACUCUAAGUUGACUGCCGGUGACAAACCGGAGGAAGGUGGGGAUGACGUCAAAUCAUCAUGCCCCUUAUGAUUUGGGCUACACACGUGCUACAAUGGACAAUACAAAGGGCAGCGAAACCGCGAGGUCAAGCAAAUCCCAUAAAGUUGUUCUCAGUUCGGAUUGUAGUCUGCAACUCGACUACAUGAAGCUGGAGUCGCUAGUAAUCGUAGAUCAGCAUGCUACGGUGAAUACGUUCCCGGGUCU